GGCUUCGUAGCUCCACUGGCAGAGCAUCUGCCUCGUUUGAGGAUGUUGUUUCUGUUGCUGGUUCAAAUCCAGCCGAAGUUC